rnacentral:rRNA from 1 species
AUUCCCUUAGUAACGGCGAGUGAAGAGGGACGAGCUCAAAUUUGUAAUCUGGCGCGUCGAAAGGCCGUCCGAGUUGUAGUCUAGAGAAGCGUCUUCCGCGCCGGACCGCGUACAAGUCCCUUGGAACGGGGCAUCGUAGAGGGUGAGAAUCCCGUAUCGCGACGYGGACCGCCGGCGCUCUGUGAUGCGCUCUCGAAGAGUCGAGUUGUUUGGGAAUGCAGCUCAAAAUGGGUGGUAAACUCCAUCUAAAGCUAAAUACGGGCGAAAGACCGAUAGCGAACAAGUACCGUGAGGGAAAGAUGAAAAGCACUUUGGAAAGAGAGUUAAACCAGUACGUGAAAUCGUUGAAAGGGAAACGCUUGGACUCAUGUCACGUCCACCGCGAAUUCAACCUCGGCCUUUCGCUGAGGUGCACUUUCCGGUGGACGGGUCAGCAUCGAUUUCGAAAGUCAGACGGGGUCCCAUGGGAACGUGACACCCCUUCGCGGGGGUGUGUUAUUUCAGCCCGGGGACUCUGUGGCGGUCGGGAUCGAGGAACGCAGCGCGCCGUCAACGGCCGGGGGUAAUAA